rnacentral:ncRNA from 1 species
CCAAAGGCUCUUUUCAGAGCCAUUAACUAUAAAUCACUGGCUCUUG